ACGAACGCUGGCGGCGCGCCUCACACAUGCAAGUCGAACGGAGCUGAGAGAAGCUUGCUUUUCUUAGCUUAGUGGCGAACGGGUGAGUAACGCGUGAGUAACCUGCCCUGGAGUGGGGGACAACAGUUGGAAACGACUGCUAAUACCGCAUAAGCCCACGAUCCGGCAUCGGCUUGAGGGAAAAGGAUUUAUUCGCUUCAGGAUGGACUCGCGUCCAAUUAGCUAGUUGGUGAGGUAACGGCCCACCAAGGCGACGAUUGGUAGCCGGACUGAGAGGUUGAACGGCCACAUUGGGACUGAGACACGGCCCAGACUCCUACGGGAGGCAGCAGUGGGGGAUAUUGCACAAUGGGGGAAACCCUGAUGCAGCGACGCCGCGUGGAGGAAGAAGGUUUUCGGAUUGUAAACUCCUGUCGUUAGGGACGAUAAUGACGGUACCUAACAAGAAAGCACCGGCUAACUACGUG
rnacentral:rRNA from 1 species